UACGGAGGGGUUAGCGUUGUUCGGAAUUACUGGGCGUAAAGCGUGCGCAGGCGGUUUUGUAAGUCUGUCGUGAAAUCCCCGGGCUUAACCUGGGAACUGCAUUGGUGACUGGCAGGCUUUGAGUGUGGCAGAGGGAGGUAGAAUUCCACGUGUAGCAGUGAAAUGCGUAGAGAUGUGGAGGAAUACCGAUGGCGAAGGCAGCCUCCUGGGCCAACACUGACGCUGAGGAGCGAAAGCGUGGGAGCAAACAGG
rnacentral:rRNA from 1 species